AGAGUUUGAUCCUGGCUCAGGACGAACGCUGGCGGUGUGCUUCACACAUGCAAGUCGAGCGAAUGAAGAAGGUAGCUUGCUACUUUUGGAUUUAGCGGCGGACGGGUGAGUAAUAUAUAGGAAUCUGCCCUAGAGCGGGGAACAACAGACCGAAAGGUUUGCUAAUGCCCCAUAGGUACGCAGUCUUCGGAUUGUUUAUUAAAGGAGUAAUCCACUCUAGGAUGAGCCUGUAUCCGAUUAGCUAGUUGGCGGGGUAAAGGCCCACCAAGGCUGCGAUCGGUAGUUGGUCUGAGAGGAUGAUCAGCCACAAUGGGACUGAGACACGGCCCAUACUCCUACGGGAGGCAGCAGUGGGGAAUUUUACACAAUGGGGGAAACCCUGAUGUAGCGACACCGCGUGAACGAAGAAGCCUUUUGGGGUGUAAAGUUCUGUCGGCUGGAACGAAAAAAAUGACGGUACCAGCAAAGGAAGCAUCGGCUAACUACGUGCCAGCAGCCGCGGUAAGACGUAGGAUGCAAGCGUUGUCCGGAUUUAUUGGGCGUAAAGAGUUCGUAGGCGGUUAUUUAAGUCUGGUGUUAAAUACUGUGGCCCAACCACAGAACUGCAUUGGAUACUGGAUGACUUGAGUGCGGUAGAGGCGAGUGGAAUUCCCAGUGUAGCGGUGAAAUGCGUAGA
rnacentral:rRNA from 1 species